UACGAAGGGGGGCUAGCGUUGCUCGGAAUGACUGGGCGUAAAGGGCGCGUAGGCGGCUUGCACAGUCAGGCGUGAAAUUCCUGGGCUCAACCUUGGAAUUGCCUUCAAAACUGAUAGCCUAGAGUAUGGAAGAGGUAAGUGGAACUCCGAGUGUAGAGGUGAAAUUCGUAGAUAUUCGGAAGAACACCAGUGGCGAAGGCGACUUACUGGUCCAUGACUGACGCUGAGGCUCGAAAGCGUGGGGAGCAAACAGG
rnacentral:rRNA from 1 species